UACAAGGGGUGCUAGCGUUAUUCGGAUUCAUUGGGCGUAAAGGGUACGUAGACGGCGUGCUAAGUUAGUUGUUAAAUCUCUCGGCCUAACCGAGAACAAGCAAUUAAUACUGGUAUGCUAGAGGGUGAGAGAGAGGAGUGGAAUUCUCGGAGUAGCGGUAAAAUGCGUAGAUAUCGGGAGGAACACCGGUGGCGAAGGCGGCGACCUGGGUCGAUACUGACGCUGAGGUGCGAAAGCGUGGGGAGCAAACAGG
rnacentral:rRNA from 1 species